GACGAACGCUGGCGGCGUGCUUAACACAUGCAAGUCGAACGGAAAGGCCCUGCUUUUGUCGGGUGCUCGAGUGGCGAACGGGUGAGUAACACGUGAGUAACCUGCCCUUGACUUUGGGAUAACUUCAGGAAACUGGGGCUAAUACCGGAUAGGAGCUCCUGCUGCAUGGUGGGGGUUGGAAAGUUUCGGCGGUUGGGGAUGGACUCGCGGCUUAUCAGCUUGUUGGUGGGGUAGUGGCUUACCAAGGCUUUGCCGGGUAGCCGGCCUGAGAGGGUGACCGGCGACAUUGGGACUGAGAGACGGCCCAGACUGCUACGGGAGGCAGCAGGGGGGAAUAUUGCACAGUGGGCGGAAGCCUGAUGAAGCAACGCCGCGUGCGGGAUGACGGCCUUCGGGUUGUAAACCGCUUUCGCCUGUGACGAAGCGUGAGUGACGGUAAUGGGUAAAGAAGCACCGGCUAACUACGUG
rnacentral:rRNA from 1 species